ensembl:lncRNA
CUUCUAUGUAGUUUUAGUCAGCCAGUAAAUGCUGGGAGCAGGGGAUCAGCAGUAAUUUAAAGAUCCUCAUAGAUGGAGCAUUUCGGGUUUGUCGUGACCCCUCUGUGCUGUGUUUAUCCUGAGACACUGUUUGAAAAGACACAUUUGUUGUUCUUUAGUUCUUUAAAAAUGCAGGCCUUUUCAGUGAGACCUGCUUAUUUAGAACUUCGGACGAGAUUCUUCUUCAGUUGUAAUGUUGCUGUGGAUAAAACAUUUGUCAAAUUCGUGUAAAAAGUUUUGCAGACAUCCUCCUUGCCCCUACUACCUUUUUCUUGGUUUGCCUCUUCAUGGGCUCUUAUUCAAAAGCUCUCGGAUUUCGGCUGGAAGCUGUUUCAUGUCAGAUGAAAAGUCGCCGUUGACAGACCAAAGGGUCACGGGAGCCUGGAGCCUAUCCCAGGGAACUUGGGGCACGAGGUGGGGGAUAUCCUGGAUGGGGUGCCUGCCAACCCGUCACAGGUGCUUCACUGCUCACUGUACUGUACAGCAGCUGAAGAUUAUGUAAAGCCCUGAUGCUGGAGGCAGAUGUUUGAGGAGGAAGGAGUGAUAUUUAAGCCUUUCUGCAGAUGUGGGAAAACAGAGUGCACUGGCAGCGCACACACAUAAACACACACACUCACACACACACACACACACACACACACACACACACACACACACACACACACACACACACACACAUCUACCUCUUCCCCUGACAUAAUUAUUAAUGCAGCUAAUUAAUGCUCUGCCUAGACCUAAAUCUAAUACUACCCUCAACCCUAGUAAUGAAAUGGAAAUCUUCUGGCGCUUCUAGUGGGAAUAACCAAAUGUUCCCACAAAGUCAAAACUGUCAGAUCUACUUUUCUUGUGGCACAGCACACUUUACUCCCGCUCUCUUGUUACCUGCUCCUUCCACUUGCUAAAGUAUCGCAGAGAAAUAUUAUGUAUGAAAUUAAAUAUCUAAUAUUACACUUGGCUGACACUUGAUGAAUUACAUUUAAGAGUAGCUGAAGUUAACAAAAACAGCAUGUGGCUGUCUGAGGGAGACAAAUCUCAUUACACAUCAUCCCCCAUGUGUCUACAUAUUGUGAACUCCCUUGUGAGAGCACACACACAACCUACUGAUCUGCACUGCUUUACAGACUGGCCCUAUAUAAAAGUGUGCAAGAUAGUAAUAGUGUAAUGCAAGUCCACUACAAUAUGUGUAUCUGUUUACUGCUUCAGAUAUUCAGUAUAAAAUAUUCUGUAUUCGAAUUUAAACCCAAAAUGGG